rnacentral:rRNA from 1 species
CCCUUCCCGUAGGUGAACCUGCGGAGGGAUCAUUACAGAGUUGCAAGACUCCCUAAACCAUUGUGAACCUACCUUCUACCGUUGCUUCGGCGGGCGGGCCCAGCGCCCCCCCGGCCCCCCGCGGGCGCCCGCCGGAGGAUACCCAAACUCUUUGACAUUAGUGGCCUCUCUGAGUAUUCUUUACUGAAUAAGUCAAAACUUUCAACAACGGAUCUCUUGGUUCUGGCAUCGAUGAAGAACGCAGCGAAAUGCGAUAAGUAAUGUGAAUUGCAGAAUUCAGUGAAUCAUCGAAUCUUUGAACGCACAUUGCGCCCGCCAGUAUUCUGGCGGGCAUGCCUGUUCGAGCGUCAUUUCAACCAUCAAGCCCCCGGGCUUGUGUUGGGGACCUGCGGCUGCCCGCAGGCCCUGAAAACCAGUGGCGGGCUCGCUAGUCACACCGAGCGUAGUAGCAUACAUCUCGCUCAGGGCGUGCUGCGGGUUCCGGCCGUUAAACAGCCUCUGCGCUACACCCAAGUUGACCUCGAUCAGUAGAAACCCGCUA